rnacentral:rRNA from 1 species
UACGGAGGGGGCUAGCGUUGUUCGGAAUUACUGGGCGUAAAGCGCGCGUAGGCGGACCUGCAAGUCGGGGGUGAAAGCCCGAGGCUCAACCCGGAACUGCCUUCGAUACUGCGGGUCUCGAGUCCGGGAGAGGUGAGUGGAAUUCCUAGUGUAGAGGUGAAAUUCGUAGAUAUUAGGAAGAACACCAGUGGCGAAGGCAGCUCACUGGGACGGUAUUGACGCUGAGACGCGAAAGCGUGGGGAGCAAACAGGG